AUCGACUGUUCGUUGGAGUGGGAGAUCACAUAUAUUGUAAGAUGACCCGACGGUAGCUGCUCGCAUUUCAGCCUGUCUGAGGGGAUUCCUAGUGGAAAGUGCUUUAAAAGUGUCAGACUUUCACCAAGCAAAAAGAUACCUGGUCACAUCAGAUGAGCUACAGAGAAGAUGGUCUCUGCCAGAGAGCUACUCUGCAAACGCUAUAGUGGCUUAUCUCCGGAAGGCCAAGGGACAAAAAAAAAAAAAUUAUAGAGAAGUUGGAGGAGUUGGAGGUGAAGCCCUCAAAGCAAACAAAGUUAACUUCACAGUGCUCCAAACUUUGUGAAGAUGAAUGCAGUGAUCUGGCUGGUGACAUCAUGUACCUGGCAACAAAAUUCAUCCCCCAGAAAAAAGUGGCUGAAGCCCUGUUGGAAGAGGGAAAUGUCAAUGAAGCCAUGUUCAAAACAGAAGACUGCAGG